UUCCCCCUGUGAAGCCCCAGGAGAGCAGAUUCUUCCAGCCUUGGCAUGCAGUUGGUUUUGCCACCUGGCCAUCACUAAUGCUUGCCUGGGGAAUCCCUCUGCCUUCUCUCCAGGUAACAACCAGGCUCCAGUCCUGUACCUCAACGCUUCCAGUGCCCAGGAGGGGGAAAUAGUGUUGCUUCAAUGUACCCUUGAUGAGCAGUUUCCUCCUACACGAGUUGUCUUCUGCAAGAAUGGGCUGGAGGAGUUCAGCCUGAAAGCCCAGCAGGGCAUGCUCAUCUACACUCUGGUCCUGAACAUCACCUCCAGAAGUGCUGGGAUGUACACGUGUGGGUACCAGCAAAAGAACAAGGAAAACUGGGUGAGGAGCUCUGCUCUCAGUGCUCCCUGGACCUUGUCUGUGGCAGGUGCAGGUGCUGGUGAGACCACCACUGAUAUCCACAGCUCCAAAGGUGAGGACAAGCAUGAGGGUGUGCCGUUUACAUGGACACGUCCUGCUCCCUGCCUCUCCCCAUCACACCCCGCUGCCCUCACACCCUCUGUCCCCCGGCUCCCCAUGCCCGGCUCCCGCACACCCUCCCCACAGCCAUGGUGCUUGCAGUGGUGCCUCUCAUCCUCAUCCUCCUGGCUGCAGGCAGCUGGUUUGCCAUCAGGAAAGCUGAGGGAGAGGGGGAAGGCUGGGGGAAGGCUGAGGCCGUGGGGGUCCUCGUGGGGCUGGUGCAGUGGGAAAGGUGGUGGGGGGAACCUGGGGGUGCGCAGCUGGGGCAAACGGUGCCUGGGGGUGACGGCUGUGGGCAGCCCAGCUGGGGAGGCUGCUGAGGGAGCUGGGGAGCUUCAGCCUUCAUCCCCCAGCCCCGAGAUGGGAGUCAGGGCUGGGCAGCCUGUUUGUGCCAGGUGAUAUACGGCCCAAGGGUGGUUUGAACAGAAGGGAUGGAGAUACUGUAGAGGCUGGAGCUGUGUGCUGCAGCAGGUAGGGCAUGGCUGUCGUGUAGAUCCCCCAUGGGAGUGUUCCCUCUCCUGUAAGUUAGCCGCUAGAGAAAGAGCUGCUCUCAGACAUGCCCGUCCCUCCUGCAGCACCUCUGCAUCAGAGAUAGGGCUGCAUCGG
rnacentral:lncRNA from 1 species